CAGUCGCCACGGGAAUACGAAGGGGGCUAGCGUUGUUCGGAAUUACUGGGCGUAAAGCGCACGUAGGCGGAUAUUUAAGUCAGGGGUGAAAUCCCGCAGCUCAACUGCGGAACUGCCUUUGAUACUGGGUAUCUUGAGUAUGGAAGAGGUUAGUGGAAUUGCGAGUGUAGAGGUGAAAUUCGUAGAUAUUCGCAGGAACACCAGUGGCGAAGGCGGCUAACUGGUCCAUAACUGACACUGAGGUGCGAAAGCGUGGGGAGCAAACAGGAUUAGAUACCCGCGUAGUCCCUGUCUCUUAUAC
rnacentral:rRNA from 1 species